AAAGAUGGGCCGAAAGCAAGGGCAGACUUGAAAUCAAUGGGCAUCAGGCAGGAGCUUCACGCUAUAUAUGAUGAUGAUGAUGAUGAUGAUGAUGAUGAGGCGAAGCAGGACACAGAAAGUCGUCGCAAAGGCAAAAAGGCCAAGAAGACCGGAAAUGACUACCCUCCCGCGUGCUUCACUCUAAGUCAGGAGGAGAUCGAGCAGUUUUUCACCUGCCUCCUAGGAGUAAAACUUCCUGACGGUUACGCGGGGAACAUAAGCAGAUACCUAGACCCAGCGAAGCAGAAGUUCAGCGGGAUGAAGUCUCACGACUGUCACGUGCUGAUGACGCAGAUACUUCCAGUUGCAAUUCGUGGGAUCAUGGACGCGCACAUCCGUGAAAUGCUAUUUGGCCUAUGCAACUUCUUCGACGUCAUCUCUCGGAAGUCGAUUGGCGUGAGGCAACUCAGAAGGCUACAGGAAGAGAUCAUGGUGAUACUAUGCGAGCUUGAGAUGUACUUCCCGCCUGCAUUCUUCGACGUUAUGGUGCAUCUGCUGGUCCAUAUAGUGGAGGAUAUCAUCCAACUC
rnacentral:rRNA from 1 species